GGGGUAGUGGUCUAGCUUGGUAUGAUACGUGCUUUGGGAGCAUGAGGUCAUCGGUUCAAAUCCGAUCUACCCCA
rfam:Euryarchaeota archaeon RBG_13_57_23 RBG_13_scaffold_1878, whole genome shotgun sequence.